AGCUGUAACAGCAUCCUUAAGGUGUCCCACUCCUUUGGGCACAACAUGACUUCUCCCAAUCGUGCCCUGGAUGAAUAAGUCCCAAAUCCGGAAUUUUCCUGCCUGUGUCCAAACAUAACUGCAGAUCUAGAAAAGGGUCAAAUGGCUGAGAAUCGUACAGUAAAGCAAGUCCAGAUUGGGUGCUCCAGAAGCCCUUUACAAGUGACAGAAUCACUGGGAAGAGGUAAGGCAAUUCAUGAAUGAUUCAGUAGCGAGCGCUCCCCAGAUUCGUCUUAUUUUUCAUAAAACAAAUCCAGUGAAGCUUCGGUGCGUUUUUAGCCUUUGAUAACAGAAGAGAAUAUGGGUUAAGAACCUGACGUGGCAUCAGAGGGCUAUAAAGUGUGCAAUUAAACGUGGCAUCUGGAGGAAGGAUGGGGCCCAAGGCACGGCUCUUUGUUUGCCUUGAAGAACGUGAAUGUGUCUUCUUUAUUGAAAGCGGAGAGCAUAACGGGAGAGCAAAGUGACAGCAUCCCCCAUCUGGAAAUAUUUGUGUGAGUGUCAGGCAAAUAACGGAUGAGGCCGCCACGGCUCGCUCUCGGCUUUUCGGAAGAUGGACAGAGUUGUGUUUGGUGCAUUGCACCUUGUGGAAUUGGAGCCAACUUACAGAAAACUGCUCUGGCAUCUGUCUUGUUUUAAGCUGAUUGUCAACAGGAGCCGCUAGUAGCAGUAGAGAAGGGGGGUGGCGAGAAGCGGGCAGGGAAACAUGGCGAGCCUGUUUUCAAGCCUCGCGAUAAACUAUGGCUUAGAACGUUGACAGCUCCAGAACUUGACAGUUGCCUCCCCUCCUAGGGGACUUCUCAUGCCACACUCUACAGUCCGAUCACGCUGCUGAGCUGCGACGCCCAGGCACUGCCUGACCUGACAUAAUGGGCCGCUAUUUACUGCAAACAAGGCUGAGCCCGUGCCUUUCCCCCCUUAGGACUACAGCACGAAGGUCUGCCUCUCAGAAAUGGCUUCUCUUCUGAUCUUCCCCUCCCAUCCCCGCCCAAGAUCAAUACCGCGGGUUAGAGAAGCAAAUGCAGGACAAUAAAUAAAGAAGAAAACUCACGUUGUAGACCACGA